CCAACGUUGAAGAGCAAGUGCAAGACACAUUUCUUGUGAAUGACACUGAGGAGAGAACAGAUGUAAUGUGUCAAAAUCUGCAACGGUGUCCAUUAUGUGUCUAGUUGACAAAGUCACAUUUGUGGACCUCUUGGUUCGAUGCUUAAUGGAAAGAUCUACGUGACUCGACAAAGCUGUAUAUCUCUUGGAGGGGAGCAACUGCCCAACAAACUGCUUUCGAAUCAUCCACAAACAAGAAUGGAUGGGCUGCGUUCUCCCUAAACACUGUUAAUCUUAAGGCUGAUCUGAAUCUGGUAUGUUGAUGAUGGAUAAAUUAUAUAUUUGGGAAAAUAAAGUAAAAAAAAAA